rnacentral:tRNA from 1 species
AAUGAAGUGCCUGAGAAAGGGUUAUUUUGAUAGAAUAAAUCA